rnacentral:lncRNA from 1 species
GGUUGGGAUGUCAUGGCGAGAAGUAGAGAAGAAAGCACAAGACAUAGUGUUAUGGAGAGAGCUAGUGUCGGCCUUAUGUGCAUCAAAGCACGAAGAGGAUUAAGUAAGUAUGUAAGUCACUGACACCUAGUAUGUCAAUAACCAUAAAUUUUUCAUUUCCUUUGCUACUUGUGCUGCUUUUGAUAUGUCUAAAAUUCCAACAUCCUAUAUACAUAUUCUGUGUUGGCGCUACUAUGAUCGGCUUUUGGGCUUCCUUUUGGCUUUCCCCCAAAUGUGUCAUGUUUGGUUUCUCAGCAGUACACCAGUUUUGGGUUUCUUCAGCGUUUCUGAUUUCUGUAACAAGCUCUUUUUUUACAGAGUUGGGUUGUUAGCCCAACGUCCAACCUCUGCUCUGGUGGACUGGAUUUUCUUUCUGGGUCGUCCUUCCCGUAGAUGAUUGCAUUACCAUGCUAACGGAUUGCAUCUGUCCGGAUUUCUUUUCUGGGUUAUCUCCUAU